UUGAUCAGUAAUGUAUGUUAAAUCCUUUUUUUCCAGGUUCUGAGGAGAUAGAUAAGAAAGAUACUGACAAGAGCAGGAAAAACAGUUGUUUCCUCAAGAACUAUUAUAUUAUAGCAAUGCUAUUCUUACAAAGAACUCAAGAGCCUGUUUGGAGGAGAUUAAAGAAGCAAAAACUCAUUAGUGUUCAAGUCUUUAUAUACAUCAGACGCAAGAGAGACAGAGACGUUAAGAUAUGAGUAAAUAGGGCAAAACAGUACCUCCUCUGUUCUCUCGUGGCUAACAAGAUGACCACCAUGAAGAUCCACCAUUCUAGCAACAGGAUACAGCCUCUGCGCCAAUCUUCUCGCGUGACGUAUCUGAGCAAUGACAUCAUGUCUGCAUAUAAACCCCCACCACAAUACUCAAAAUCAACCGUUGUGUAUAUGUAAAGAUUCUUUAAACUGUGAGCAUGAGAUGAUCCUAUUCUAACUGCA